UACGUAGGCAGCAAGCGUUGUUCGGAGUUACUGGGCGUAAAGGGUGUGUAGGCGGUUCUUUUAAGUUUGGUGUGAAAUCUCCCGGCUUAACCGGGAGGGUGCGCCGAAUACUGAGGGUCUAGAGUACGGGAGAGGAAAGUGGAAUUCCUGGUGUAGCGGUGAAAUGCGUAGAUAUCGGAAGGAACGCCGGUGGCGAAAGCGACACGCUGGACCUUUUCUGACGCUGAGGCGCGAAAGCCAGGGGAGCAAACGGG
rnacentral:rRNA from 1 species